rnacentral:lncRNA from 1 species
CUGAGUGGUGGGAUAGUUCUUCAACCCAAGGUUUUUCUUUUCACUAAGCUCAGUCUCCAAUUACUCUGCUUCCUGCUUUUUAGUGGAAUGCAUUCAGAUUACUUGGAGUUUUAACCAAAUCAUCUUUAUAUUUUGUUUAUUUUGGAAAAUUUAUGAUGCGCAGACAUUCAGAACAGGUGGUGGAUUUUGUUCUGUAAAGUUAAAUUCGAUAAUGAUGUUCAUAAUCAGAGCUCAAAAUCUAUAAACUGUGCUUUUGUUCAGUUAGGCUGUUGGAAAAAUAGGCCUAGGCACUAGGCGGGUCCCUUUUUUCUUUUUCCUUUUUUUUUACUUUUUUUUUUUCCUGACUUUAGCUCAAUCAUGAAAUCGCUUCAAUUUCUGAUGGCCGCUGUACGAAAACUGGGUUUUGAUUAUGUGUUUUGCAUCCUGAAAAGAGAAAGAUGUGGUUGAAAAGUUAUUACUAGAGGGAGCAAUAGAGAUUUUAGUCUGUAAAAGUAGUAUGUAAUUGUUAGGAAUCUGGUUUUGCCUAAGUUGGAUGAGUAGUUGGAAAUCCUGACUGAAUUAGACUUGGGGAAUAUACAGACACAGAAACACAUAGUCGUGCUUUGCUUGUUGUCAUAGAUAAUAGCAACUAAAGGUAGAUAAUAGCAAGUACAGGGACUAAGGUUUGGGGCUUAAGACAGAUAAUAGCAAGUACACAGGGACUAAGGUUUUGUUGAGUUGUUCUUGAGGCGGUUGUACUAUCUUUUUGUUUUCUGGUCAUGUUUAUGUCCUAGUGAGCCAGAACUAAAGAUUUCGGGCUUAAGAUAUAUAAGUGGCUUAUCUAUGGGACUUGGAAAGAGACAUCCCACUUUGUUUGAGAAGGUUUGAAUCAGACAUUUGAUUUUUAUGAUGAUUGCAUAAAUUUUCAUCUACAAAUUGAUUGAAUAACUAGUGUAGUGCUUCAAGUUACCAGUCGCUUCUAACCAAGGUGCUUUCUAAUAGUGCCACCUUGCUCAUUAAACAUGGAGACCUCUGUGUGUCAUCCGUUUGAUUCUAAUAAUUUCCAAGUGUUAAGUUGGUUAACUGGCCUAGUGUUUGAGCCAUAAAUUACUGAAACAGUCCCAUGAUGAAAGAAUUGAUUGCGUUCUCAUGAUUAUUUGUGAUCAUAGAAACUGCUUUCCAGAAAUCCUUUAAUCUUCUCUGAUGUAUUUUGUUUCAUUUGUAGGCACACAGGUUGGAGAGGAGUUGAUGAAGGCAUCGCUGUAGUUGGGACUAGCAUGAUUUAAAAGCUACAAUGGCUGGUUGCAUGUCAACCCCAUCCAAAACAAUUAAAUCACAGAAAAAACAGUCAGCGGGUCAUCAAAAACGCCAUAGAAAGGCAACCUGCUCCGCUUCAGAUGAUACCAAGAAAAGAAAUACAAGUUUGAAGAAAAUAAAUAGUGAUGCAGGAGCUCGCGUGAGUGACUAUGUUGUCAGUGAGUUUGUUCAUGUGGACUUUGAGAAUGGUGCAACAACUACUCACAGAAGUUCUAAGGUUUCUAAUUGAACAUUCCAUCUCACCUAGCUGCAAUGGCACCACAGUCAAUAUGAUUCGAAUGGUGUGUGCUUUCUUUCAUCAGAUUUCAACUAUCUUUCAAUUUCAACCAAUAGUGCUGACAAGAAAAUUCACAGCUCUUGAAUCUCAUAUUUUGAAAGUUAUUCAUUUGCAGUAAUUUGCCAAGAGGGAGCUUGGUUGGACUCGGUGAGUAUUCUGGAGUCUGACUCAGAUGAUGACUUUAUCCGUAUACAUGGAG